AACGCGAAGAACCUUACCAAGGCUUGACAUAUAGCGAAAAGUGGCAGAGAUGUCAUGUCCGCAAGGGCGCUAUACAAGUGGUGCAUGGUUGUCGUCAGCUCGUGUCGUGAGAUGUUGGGUUAAGUCCCGCAACGAGCGCAACCCUCGUUCUGUGUUACCAGCAUUCAGUUGGGGACUCACAGGAGACUGCCGGGGUCAACUCGGAGGAAGGUGGGGAUGACGUCAAAUCAUCAUGCCCCUUAUGUCUUGGGCUGCACGCAUGCUACAAUGGCCGGUACAAAGUGCUGCGAGAUCGUAAGAUUGAGCGAAUCACAUAAAGCCGGUCUCAGUUCGGAUUGAGGUCUGCAACUCGACCUCAUGAAGUCGGAGUUGCUAGUAAUCGUAGAUCAGCAACGCUACGGUGAAUACGUUCCCGGGUCUUGUACACACCG
rnacentral:rRNA from 1 species